UGCCCCCCCCCCUUUGGAAAAUCCAGGAUGUCACAAUGGUUAUUACAAAGUUUUUUGUUUUAAUUUGGCUCGACAAGGUGAAACAUAUAGAAGUAAUCAGAAUACAUGCUUAGCCAAGUAAAAUGCUUAGUAACUUGCUUACACUGUAGUCAGUCAGUGCUCUGAAUUUAAUAUUAGCCUUGGUGUGGGUGGUACAUGUAGUCUUCCUGCUUAGACCAACUAGUAAUACUGUAGACCAAUUAGUAUAAGACAGAGUGGGAUAACUAAAUAAAGAGGCAAUUAGAUCAAGAGAUGAAAUAAUAGAGAGUAUUAGAUUACCUGGUUAUUGAUUAGAGACCUAUCUUCCCCUUGCUAUCUUUAUCUCUUAUUCCUUCUCAUUAAUUUCAGAACCAUUCUCCUCUCUAUUUCUUCACUUUUUCUUUAUUUCCUUUUCUAUUUCAUCUUUCUCAUUUUCUUUUCACUCUUUUUAUUAUCUGUCAUCCCCUAUUACACAUUUUCUUUUCAAGUUUUAUCAAAUUCCAAAUACUUUUACCCACUCAAUCUCCCAUGCCAGGUACACUAUUGAAUUGGGAUACUUUCUUGAAAUCUAUCUCUUUCACCUUCAACAAGGCAUUGCAUUUAGAUGUCAAUUUAUAGAAGUCAUAGUCAUGACAAUUACCAAGUUCCAUUUAAAGUCUAAUUCAUCAAUUUUCUUGUGAACUUAUAGCUAAAUGAAUUAGCACACAAUGGACUUACAUAAUCUACGAAUAUAUUGAAAUACAUAUUUCAUGUAUUUUUAUUCAUAAGCAACAAAAAAAGUAAUAAAACAAUCAAUACAAACCAUAUCAUAAAAAAAAUGAUAAAUUAAUAUUGCCAUGAUAUUCACUUAUACAUGCAUAAUCACAAUUCCAAAGUAUUUGCAUAGAUGGUGUAAUCUACUAUUACAUGUACAUUAGAAACUUGUGCACUUGAGCUGGUAAGUUCCAAACUCUCAUUGCAGUAAAAUCUACUUGUAAUAUGUUCUGAAUGUGUAUUCAUCAGUAUA